rnacentral:lncRNA from 1 species
GAACACUUGUGUGUUAAACGCGAUUUCCAUCUCUGCGGCACCCAAUUCCAGAAACGUUAACUGGACGAUCCUCAGGGGAUGGUGGAUCAUCUGCAUCUGUUUCCAGACAUGCACGAAGGAUCUCCUUCGUACACCUACACACCCCAUGCGAUUUCCCUUGAACCAUGACUGACCAGCUGUCUGGACGACAUCCAGGGCGAGUCACAAGAGGCUUGGGAAUCCUGGGAGGCUGUUUUCAGAUUAUGGAAAUGCAAAUCAAAUCCUCCCUGAUACGACUUCACACCCACUAGGAUGGCUAUAGAAUCAAAAAGAUGGACAAUAACAAGUGCUGGUGAGGACAUGGAGCAACUGGAACCCUCGCACACUACAGGUGAGACUGUAAGAUGGUGCGGCCAUUUUAGAAUACAGUCUAGCACUUCCUCAUUAUAUGAAUGAAACACAGCAUUAACGUAUGACCCAGAAAUUCCAUUCCUAUAGGUAUACACCCAGCCUGUGUGCAAAAACUUGUACAUGAAUGUUUAAGGCUGCAUUAUUCCUAAUAGCCAAAAUGUGGAAACA